GUUAAUAAAAAUCGGUGCGUCGCAAUUUUUUUGUGAUGUUUCCGGAGUUUGAGUUAUCUUAAACUCUUCUGGGUUUUUAAGAGGCUUAAAAUUGACCUUUUUUGUGCAUUUUAGACGUACAUAAAUUUUUUUUUAUUCGUCUAUCUUAAUGCCAAAAUCUAUUAGAUGCGACCAUAUCAUGUUGGUUUCGUGUCUAUAAAUUUUUCAUG
rnacentral:misc_RNA from 1 species